rnacentral:rRNA from 1 species
CCUACGGGUGGCAGCAGUAGGGAAUAUUCGGCAAUGGCGGGAACCCUGACCGAGCAACGCCGCGUGAACGAAGAAGUUAUUAGUAAUGUAAAGUUCUUUUAACAGGGAAGAAAGAGAAAUUUGACGGUACCUGAAGAGUAAGCCCCGGCUAACUACGUGCGAGAAGCCGCGGUAAUAAGUAGGGAGCGAGUGUUAUCCGGAAUUAUUGGGCGAAAAGGGUGCGUAGAUGGCAUAGUAAGUCUUGUGUAAAAAUGCUGGGCUCAACCCAGUAGUGCAAAAGAUACUGCAAAGCUAGAGUAUGACAGAGGCAAGUGGAACGAGAGGUGUAGCGGUAAAAUGCGUAGAUAUAUGUAAGAACACCAGUGGCGAAGGCGGCUUGCUGGGUCGAUACUGACAUUGAGGCACGAAAGCGUGGGGAGCAAACAGGAUUAGAUACCCUUGUAGUC